rnacentral:rRNA from 1 species
AUGUGGUCGACGGCUGUCUCUGGGAACUGUGGUGUGCGCUUUUAUACUACUAUACUAAAGGAGCAAACAAUGUAUUCUGUUGUUUCUGGUGGGCACAGGCUGCAACACGGUGUCUCCAGUUUAGCUUAUUUUGUGACGGUGUAUGCGGCGGAUCCAAACUGUGGUGUCCAUGGCUCGAUCAUGACUUCACCAGCGGUUAUCUCUGUUGACAGUAAGUGUUGCAGCGAUGUUAACAAUGUGUGUUCUGCAGGCAGCGGUGUCACCGAGUGCAGAAAUGCUGAUUCACUGAGCUUUCGUCAGCAUUUCUGA